AAUGGGGGCAACCCUGAUCCAGCCAUGCCGCGUGAGUGAAGAAGGCCUUCGGGUUGUAAAGCUCUUUCAGCCGGGAAGAAAGCGCACUCUCUAACAUAGGGUGUGGAUGACGGUACCGGAAGAAGAAGCACCGGCUAACUACGUGCCAGCAGCCGCGGUAAUACGUAGGGUGCGAGCGGUAAUCGGAAUUACUGGGCGUAAAGGGUGCGCAGGCGGUUUUGUCAGACAGAUGUGAAAUCCCCGGGCUUAACCUGGGAACUGCGUUUGUGACUGCAAGGCUAGAGUACGGCAGAGGGGGGUGGAAUUCCGCGUGUAGCAGUGAAAUGCGUAGAUAUGCGGAGGAACACCGAUGGCGAAGGCAACCCCCUGGGCCUGUACUGACGCUCAUGCACGAAAGCGUGGGGAGCAAA
rnacentral:rRNA from 1 species